AUUGAACGCUAGCGACAUGCUUAACACAUGCAAGUCGAACGGCAGCAUGGUCUUAGCUUGCUCAGCCUGAUGCCGACCGGCGCACUGUUCCUUAACACGUAUCCAACUUUCCUCACAAGCGCGGAUAACUCGUCGAUAGUCGCCCUUAUACCCCGUACGCUCUAUUUUGGGCAUCCAAGGUAUCGGCAAUGAAAUUCGGCCUGAGUUCGGCUUGCGUGCCAUUAGCUAGUUGGUGGGGUAACGGCUCACCAAGGCGACGAUGCGUAGGGGGGCUGAGCGGACGACCAGCCACACUAGGACGGAACCACGGCCCAGACUCCGACGGGAGGCAGCAGAGGGGAAUUUUGGACUAUGGGAGCAACCCUGAUCCAGCCCUGCCGCGUGCGGGAAGAAGGCCUUCGCGUUGUAAACCGCUUUUGUUCGGGAAGAAAUCUUCUGGGCUAAUACCCCGGGGGGAUGACGGUACCGGACGAAUAAGCACCGGCUAACUACGUG
rnacentral:rRNA from 1 species